rnacentral:lncRNA from 1 species
GUUUUGAGGAAGGAAAUUAAAAAAAAAAGGUAUCAAACAUAUUGUGAUCUAUUAAAUUCAUAAAGUUCAAGAUCACAGAGUCAAAUGUUGGGUUAUGUCUUUGCAAAACAGGGUUGUGCACAUUUUGCCUGCUGUAAAAAUAUUGCAACAGUUAAGUGUAAUGUAAGUGCAUUAGCAGAAAGCUUUCUUGUGUUAGAUUUUGAGUUAUUGAACUUGCAUGCUAAAUAUCCACUUUUUGAUAGGACGUGCUCUGACGUCCCACAAUCUCAGCUUGUCUGGCAAAACAGCCGUUGGAUGUCAGAGCAAUCUUCGACAAAAUGUAUCGUUUAAGAUCACAUAAAAAGGUAAUGCUCUAAGAUGGAACACUUCAUCUUUUGGACACAUAUAU